rnacentral:lncRNA from 1 species
CCUAACUUACUGUCAGCGGUGGUACCGCCCCUAUUAGGCGGUGGUACCGCCUGAGUUCGGUCUCCGAGCGAUGUCAGGCGGUAGUACCGCCCAGUUAGGCGGUAGUACCGCCAGGACCCCGAAAAACUGGGAGAUGACACUUUUCAACUCUAAAUUCAAAUUGAUUGGGGCCUAUAUAAACCCCACCCUUUCUGCAUGAAAGGGUAACUGAAAGCUUGAUCUUACUCUGUGAUUUUAGAGCUCAAAAGUGUUGUAAAGGCCAAAAGUUCUCCUCCC